CGGUCGGGUUGGUGAUGAGUGGAGGUAGUGGGAUCCCCAGCCCCGCGAGGACGCCCCCAGAUUGCCAGGGAUCGUCUAGUCCUUAAAGAAUAAGAGUCUUCAGAAUUGGAAGGCCCCGGAGGCUUACAUCCUAACUCCAGUGAUCCUGAACGUCUCUACCACUGCAUUGACUACAUUUUGAUUUGAAACACUUAACUGGUAUCCAUCUUUUCCCCUAAUCCUGUGCUGUCCAGUACUGUAAUAAUGACUAGCCACGUAUGGCUUUUGAACACUUGAAAUGUGGCUAAUGCAACUUGAGAGAGGCUAUUAAGUGAAAGCUACACACCAAUAAAUAAAUACCCCCGCCCAAGAAUGUCAGAUCUCACUAAUAAUAUCUGUAUGCUAAUUACAUGUUGAAAUAAUUUUUGAAAUGUUGGGUUAAAUAAAAUAUAUUAUUAAAAUUAA